rnacentral:rRNA from 1 species
GUGGGGAAUCUUGCACAAUGGGCGCAAGCCUGAUGCAGCGACGCCGCGUGGAUGAUGAAGGCCUUCGGGUUGUAAAGUCCGGUAAGCAGGGAAGAAUAAGCAACGGGUAAUAUUCGUUGUGAUGACGGUACCUGCCUAAAGCCCCGGCUAACUACGUGCCAGCAGCCGCGGUAAUACGUAUGGGGCAAGCGUUGUUCGGAAUUAUUGGGCGUAAAGGGCGUCUAGGCGGGGGAUUAAGUUAGAUGUGAAAGCUAUGGGCUCAACCCAUAAAUUGCAUCUAAGACUGGUUCUCUUGAGUCCGGGAGAGGAGAGCGGAAUUCCAGGUGUAGCGGUGAAAUGCGUAGAUAUCUGGAAGAACACCAGUGGCGAAGGCGGCUCUCUGGCCUAGGACUGACGCUGAAGCGCGAAAGCGUGGGGAGCGAACAGGAUUAGAAACCCGUGUAGUCC